CGCCUCCUCCUGCCGGCGGCAGCAGCCCCCCCCCCUUCUCCCCGGGGAGGGUCCCCGCGCCGAGCCCCCGCCGGCUCCUGCCCGCACCUGAGGACCUCUGCCACCAGCCCGAGCAGCGCCUGUGGGGGCACAAGAGGUGACCAGAGGCAGCAGAGCCACGAGGGGCCUCGGCGAAGUCCCCCUUGUCCCCGCUGCCACCCACCACAGCAAACGCCUUCCUCAGGGUCAUCGGCUGCCAGAGAACAGACCCAGGUUGAGGAGCUCCCUUCUGACCUGCUGCUCCCUCAGCAAAGCCCCAACACAUUGUCAAUUCACGUAUGUAUGUCCUGAUCCCAAGGUGUCUGGAAAAGUGCUUUUCCUGCAGAGAGUAGCUUAUAAAUCUGCUUUCAGGGCACCUGAGUCAGUGGGGACGGUUCGCUUUUAAUUAUUAUUCACAGUAUAUGCAGAAAAAGCACUUGGGCUGUCCCACUGACUCUGCAAGUCUUCCUUGUAUGGAAGAGACUGAAAGUUUGGGAGAAAAAAAAACAACAAACUUCAACCCUCUCUCUCUCCAUAAACUCCAAAGUAAAAUCUGCAAGAAAACAGACUUCAUUUGUUCAAGUCUUCAUGCAACCAUUUGGUUCUAUUAACCUACCCCUUGAAAAGCAAAGCAAUUCAUACAGAGAGCAGAAAACCCAGCUCCUCUGGCGUGCACAGACACAAGGACCUGUACAGACAAUAUGUGAAUAACAAAUCUGCAGAAAUGUAUCUUUGCUUAGAUACCAGCUGUGAGCAGAAAAAGUUCCCUGUGUGCAGAAUGAAGACAUCACCGUGCUAUUGAGCUUAGACCAGCUGACUGAAGGAGAGGUACUAAGUGACAUCAGCCUCUCCGUCAGAGCCACCCCAAGAGCUGGUCGCUGUGUCCUGCUGGCUCAGUAGAGCUGCCCUUGCAGGCAAGGGUCACGCUCUUCCUGGGGGGUUUGCAACCCGAGCAGGAUGAACGGGGCACAGCUGUUACCCAGCAUUGAA